rnacentral:rRNA from 1 species
GAUGAACGCUGGCGGCGUGCCUAAUACAUGCAAGUCGAGCGGACGGACGAGAAGCUUGCUUCUCUGCUGUUAGCGGCGGACGGGUGAGUAACACGUGGAUACCCUGCAUAUAGGACUAGGAUAACUUCGGGAAACCGGAGCUAAUACCCGAUAAUAUUUUGAACCGCAGGGUUCAACAGAGAAAGCCGGUCUUGCUGUCACUUAUAGAUGGAUCCGCGCUGCAUUAGCUAGUUGGUAAGGUAACGGCUUACCAAGGCAACGAUGCAUAGCCGAUCUGAGAGGGUGAUCGGUCACACUGGAACUGAGACACGGUCCAGACUCCUACGGGAGGCAGCAGUAGGGAAUCUUCCGCAAUGGGCGAAAGCCUGACGGAGCAACGCCGCGUGAGUGAUGAAGGUCUUCGGAUCGUAAAACUCUGUUAUUAGGGAAGAACAUAUGUGUAAGUAACUGUGCACAUCUUGACGGUACCUAAACAGAAAGCAACGGCUAACUACGUG